GCCCCGUUACGUUAAUGGUAAACGGCUUCCUUUGUAACGAAGAGACGCGGGUUCGAUUCCUGCACGGGGCA
rnacentral:tRNA from 1 species